rnacentral:rRNA from 1 species
GACGAACGCUGGCGGCGUGCUUAACACAUGCAAGUCGAACGGAAAGGCCCUGCUUUUGUGGGGUGCUCGAGUGGCGAACGCGUGAGUAACACGUGAGUAACCUGCCCUUGACUUUGGGAUAACUUCAGGAAACUGGGGCUAAUACCGGAUAGGAGCUCCUGCUGCAUGGUGGGGGUUGGAAAGUUUCGGCGGUUGGGGAUGGACUCGCGGCUUAUCAGCUUGUUGGUGGGGUAGUGGCUUACCAAGGCUUUGACGGGUAGCCGGCCUGAGAGGGUGACCGGCCACAUUGGGACUGAGAUACGGCCCAGACGCCUACGGGAGGCAGCAGUGGGGAAUAUUGCACAAUGGGCGGAAGCCUGAUGCAGCAACGCCGCGUGCGGGAUGACGGCCUUCGGGUUGUAAACCGCUUUCGCCUGUGACGAAGCGUGAGUGACGGUAAUGGGUAAAGAAGCACCGGCUAACUACGU